rnacentral:rRNA from 1 species
AACCGGGAGAUAGCUGGUUCUCCCCGAAAGCUAUUUAGGUAGCGCCUCGUGAAUUCAUCUCCGGGGGUAGAGCACUGUUUCGGCAAGGGGGUCAUCCCGACUUACCAACCCGAUGCAAACUGCGAAUACCGGAGAAUGUUAUCACGGGAGACACACGGCGGGUGCUAACGUCCGUCGUGAAGAGGGAAACAACCCAGACCGCCAGCUAAGGUCCCAAAGUCAUGGUUAAGUGGGAAACGAUGUGGGAAGGCCCAGACAGCCAGGAUGUUGGCUUAGAAGCAGCCAUCAUUUAAAGAAAGCGUAAUAGCUCACUGGUCGAGUCGGCCUGCGCGGAAGAUGUAACGGGGCUAAACCAUGCACCGAAGCUGCGGCAGCGACACUAUGUGUUGUUGGGUAGGGGAGCGUUCUGUAAGCCUGUGAAGGUGUACUGUGAGGUAUGCUGGAGGUAUCAGAAGUGCGAAUGCUGACAUAAGUAACGAUAAAGCGGGUGAAAAGCCCGCUCGCCGGAAGACCAAGGGUUCCUGUCCAACGUUAAUCGGGGCAGGGUGAGUCGACCCCUAAGGCGAGGCCGAAAGGCGUAGUCGAUGGGAAACAGGUUAAUAUUCCUGUACUUGGUGUUACUGCGAAGGGGGGACGGAGAAGGCUAUGUUGGCCGGGCGACGGUUGUCCCGGUUUAAGCGUGUAGGCUGGUUUUCCAG